AGUGAACGCUGGCGGUAGGCCUAACACAUGCAAGUCGAACGGCAGCACAGUAAGAGCUUGCUCUUACGGGUGGCGAGUGGCGGACGGGUGAGGAAUACAUCGGAAUCUACUUUUUCGUGGGGGAUAACGUAGGGAAACUUACGCUAAUACCGCAUACGACCUACGGGUGAAAGCAGGGGAUCUUCGGACCUUGCGCGAUUGAAUGAGCCGAUGUCGGAUUAGCUAGUUGGCGGGGUAAAGGCCCACCAAGGCGACGAUCCGUAGCUGGUCUGAGAGGAUGAUAAGCCACACUGGAACUGAGGCACGGUCCAGACUCCUACGGGAGGCAGCAGUGGGGAAUAUUGGACAAUGGGCGCAAGCCUGAUCCAGCCAUCCCGCGUGGGUGAAGAAGGCCUUCGGGUUGUAAAGCCCUUUUGUUGGGAAAGAAAAGCAGCAGGUUAAUACCCCGCUGUUCUGACGGUACCCAAAGAAUAAGCACCGGCUAACUUCGUG
rnacentral:rRNA from 1 species